CUGAGAGGAAGGUCCCCCACAUUGGAACUGAGACACGGUCCAAACUCCUACGGGAGGCAGCAGUCAGGAAUAGUGGCCAAUGGACGGGAGUUUGAACCAGCCAAGUAGCGUGAAGGAUGACUCCCCUAUGGGUUGUAAAAUUAUUUUAUACGGGAAUAAAGUGAGCCACGUGUGGAUUUUUGUAUGUACCGUAUGAAUAAGGAUCG
rnacentral:rRNA from 1 species